rnacentral:lncRNA from 1 species
AAAAAUAAAUAAAUUAAAAAAAAAAAAAACUGGAAUAGGACAGUGAGUGAAGGUGCAGCAGCAGAAAAAUACUGGGAAAAGGCCACACCCAUGCGGCUACUCGGCCUGAUUCCAUGUGCCACCCUUGGGAAUCCUCCUCUGUGCUUUGACAGCAGAAAAAGGGCUGUGCCUGGAUGAGAAAGAUUUAGAUACCAGGGAGGGAAGCUCCAGCCCUUAGUGAAGAUAUUUAAAAGAGUCCAUCCCAAGCCUCUAAGGGAAUAUGUAAAGGUGGAAAGGAACACGUCAACAUCAGAAAGUGAGCUCGGCACUGGCUCAGUGCUCCCACCAGUGUCCAGACUGGAAUGCCUGGAGAGCAAGAGGCUUCCUCUGACUUGGCUCCUGGUUACCAGCUGGACUAGAGGAUGACUGGUGCCCCUUCCUGCUCCUCCACAAAUGCUACAACCAUCAUUGUAGCUACAGAGGAAUGAGAUCCAGAAUGGCUUGCUGACCUCACCUCUAUCUGUGGAUGCUCCUCCCUCUAGUGAUGGCUAUCUUUCCCUUCUCUGAAUAUGUGCCUCAAAGCGCUGCGAGGUUCCUGUUCAUCAAUUCUAAAGGAGUUGCUCUCAACUCUCUACCACACUGGAAAGUAGCUAGAAAACUCUUGUUUGCCAGGAAAAUAACAAAAAUAACUGUGCUAAGGGUAAAGACAAUUACCUUUUCAAGAGUGUCUGUGUAUUAAGGAGUGUUUGUACCCAAAGAAAGAUCUCUAGUGGUAAAAUUUUAGAAACUAAUGAUGACUUUCAGGGAAGACCCAAAAGACAGAGAUGCUUUGAGGUGGAAUGGCACACCCAUACUCUUCAAUUACCUUAGAAUGGUAGCUUUUGGUCCGCCCACAUCUAAGACUGGACCUGGGAAAGAGAUACAAUCCUGGCUUGAAUCUCAGCCUCCAAACCCAAAAAUGCUCUUGGGCUUGUCAAAAGCCCUACAAAACCUAACUUCUACUUAUAGAUCAAUUAUUGUACCCAUCGUGAAGACUCAGUGAUCUUUUCAAAGAGUAAUUCCCUGUAUGGAUAUAUUCUUAAUAGAGAUUUUGGGAUAGAAAGUCUUCAGGGCAGUAUUCAUAAUCAACUUUCUUAUUGUAAGAGAGCUGACUGUCAAGACUGUUGUUUGAAAAAAUAUUUUAGAAGGUCUCAAAUCAAACUGUAUAAUCAGCACUCAUGUUUUAUGCAAAUUAGAAGAUAUAUUCUUAUACUGCAUCACAGGAUCUAAUCAUCCUAGCACAUCACUCAGAGAAAGCAUAUGCCAACCAAAAUUUAGAACAAUAAUUCACAGUCCAUGGAAUAGUGCAUCACCACAGAUUAGACUUGUUAUAAAUUUAUAAUGAUUUCAUAUAAAAACAUUACAUUUUAAUAGUUUGAAGAAAUGACAGGGUAGGGCUGGUAUAAAUGUUUAACUAGCACUGUCUCAUAUUUUAUACUGUUUAUUUCAUUACUGGAUAUGCUAAAGUGAAAGAGCUAGCUUAAAAAUGUCAUCAAAUUCAAAACAGAAAACUUGAGAACAAAUACUCUAUGCAAACCAUUUUUCUAGCCUGAAGGAUAUCCCACAGCCUCUUUCAGAUAAGCACCUGGAUAUGUAACUAUCACAAAAUUAUAACUUAUUUAAAUUGUUUAUCAUUCUGACCUUGGUGAGAUGAAAAUAGGUCAUAGCCCUUGUAAUUAAAUUUGUUUCCAUAUUUGAGGCUGCCACAGAGAAGCCCUGUCCCCUGUGUUCUCCCUGCCAAACUGCUCUUUGGCUCUUCUGUGACUUUACAUGCUUCUAUAAAGGACAGAGGAUCACUCAAAACACAUCUAGUCCUAUUAAUAUGAGAUUGAGAUGUGGCAGUCCUUGGGAUACGCCAGACGCAUAGACGAGACCUGAAGCUGCCUGGCAGGAAUGCAUUUGAUUUGUCACUGUCAGGUGUAUAUCAUCUCUUGCCGUUUAUCUUGAUAGUCUCUCCUGUCUCCAAAUUCUCAGUGACUGUUCUUCUCUAAUACAAUCACUCACAGAGGUCUGAGGAUAUGGUGGCAUCCCAAAUCACAGCAUCAGGAACCAUAUCCUUACUACUUAUUAAGUGUAGCUUAACCAGACUAAACAUUCCACGCCUCACAAGCCAGUGCAAAAAGGCAGUUGUGGGACAGGUACAGUAUGAUUCCUUUUUCUAAGAUAUAUUUUUUUUAACAUUUUCACUCAUUGCUGUAAUGCUUUGUUUUCUCUAAAGGUUAUAUGUUACCUGCACAAUCAGAAAAUUAAAAUAAAGAUUUAAUUUUGCUAAGAAAAUGGAUGUUCUUCUGGUUAGGAUGUUUCACAGGGAAGACAGAAUCAGAGUGGAAGCUGAAACCAGGCAAAGCCCAUCAGGGCCAGGUGUCUGGGGAGCAGCUUCAAGGGAGAGAAAGGAGUGAAGGGAAGAGGGAAGCCUGAGAAGUGGGGUGCAAGGAAGAAUGAGGCCUAGUAGUUCAGGCAGCAGGUUGAAAACACCUGCUCCCCACACCUGCACAUGAAAUAGGUGAAAUAGAGAGGCUCAGGUCCAUGCUCUGAGGAAGGCAAAAGGUAUGAUAGUGAGUCACAAGCAAGAAUUUGGGGUGUGGAAUCUCGACUCUAAGCCCUUUCCACUUUUCAGGCAUCUUCUGCAACCACUGGAGGGUGUUGGACCCCAGAGUAAAGCAGUUGUUUUAUUUGGAGAUUAAAGGCAAUAAUCACCCUAGAAGCUUGGACUAUGUGAGGACAUUUGGGUAAACAUUCGAUCUUCACAUUAAUCUAUGAAGCAGAUGUUACAAUCUCCAGCUUUUGAUAAAGAAAAUAAAUACUUAAGGAAGUUAAUUAAUUUGUCCCAGGUUUCCCAGUGUAGAGUGGAGACUUCAACCUAGACUCAACAUGAAAACCUUGCCUCCUCAAGAAAGAUAUCAUAGGAAGAAUAAGUGACAGUCCAAGUCAGCAGCCUCGAUCCAACUGUGAGGAUGUGUUCAUGGCGUGUGGGGUAGAACGCUCUCCGGAGUGCUCGGCUGGCAGGAACACCCCACAGCCUAAGAGUGGGUGGGAGCCAGAAGAUGUAAUUAUAGAUUGCAUGUGGUCUGCUUCCCGCGGUGUCAGUUUCUGAGAGUGGGACACCAGGAUCUCACAGUUAAACAGGGUGGAGCUGAGAGAUCCUUGGCACUGGAGACUGUCAUCUGUGUUUGCUCACUGCCAUUUGUCGCACACCUAGUGCAGAGCCUAGCACAGAGUAGGGCUCAGAACAUGUUUGUCGAACACAUUCAUGAAAUGGUAACAGCUCAGCAUAGGUAUAGGUCUACUGCCUGCCAAUCUGAUGCUGUCCCCUCCCACUUACGCUGUACCUCCAAAAGGAGACAUGUAGAUUUGAUGUAAGCUCACUUAAUUCAACCUACUGUGGCAGGAGUCACGGAGGAUCCAAAGAUGAACAAAAAUAUUACAACUAACACUUAGCAUCUAUCGUGUGCUGGGCACUGCUCUAAUUGCUUUUACAGAAAUAACUCAUCUGGUCCUCACAAUAGCCUCAUGUAUAAAAAGAGAAAACUAUUAGAAACCCAUUCUACAGAUGAAGAAAUUGGAGGCACAGACAGGUUAAGUGACCUCUCUAAGGUCAGAGUGCCAGUAAGUGCUGGAGGCAGGUUCAAACUUGGCAACUUUGGCUCCAGAACUUGUGCUGUUCACCAUUACACCACACUGCCUCUCACAUGAUCUCUAGCUACAGGACAUUGGAGGGCAAACACACCACAAUGGAGUGGGCUCCGCAGAACAGAUUGUGGCUCAAGCCCAUUCCAGAGAGGAGCAGGUGCAUACUUUACAAAAAC